rnacentral:rRNA from 1 species
CGGGGGGGGCAAGCGUUGUUCGGAAUUACUGGGCGUAAAGGGCUCGUAGGCGGCCAACUAAGUCCGACGUGAAAUCCCCAGGCUUAACCUGGGAACUGCGUCGGAUACUGGAUGGCUUGAAUUCGGGAGAGGGAUGCAGAAUUCCAGGUGUAGCGGUGAAAUGCGUAGAUAUCUGGAGGAAUACCGGUGGCGAAGGCGGCAUCCUGGACCGACAUUGACGCUGAUGAGCGAAAGCUAGGGGAGCAAACGGGAUUAGAUACCCCGGUAGUCCUAGCCCUAAACGAUGAAUGCUUGGUGUGGCGGGUAUCGAUCCCUGCCGUGCCGAAGCUAACGCAUUAAGCAUUCCGCCUGGGGAUACGGUCGCAAGGCUG